CCUAGCGCUCGCGCGCUGGGCUAUCUUCUGACGCCGCUUCGCGGCU
rnacentral:sRNA from 1 species